GUGAAUCAUCGAAUUUUUGAACGCAAAUUGCACUCUCUUCGGAGAGUAUGCCUGUUCGAGGGUCAGCCUAAAAAAUCGACAUAUUCGCUUUUUCGCUGUGACAUUCGUUGGAAAUUGUGUCCUCUUAAACCUUUGGGUUUUAAGCUGCUUACAAUUUUCUUUACGAUUCCACGAACGUUUCUAAGAUUUACUUCUUAUACGUUUAAGGUAUCGAUCUUUAUUUGACGUGUUCGUUGCUUCUGUUCUCGUUCAUAAAUCUUUCUUUAACU
rnacentral:misc_RNA from 1 species